GAGAAGCCAAGAUGGCCGCCGGUGCCGACGCCCCGGCCAGGCCAGGCCCAGGCUGCGAGCGCUCCCCCUUCCGGCUCCGAGCGGGCGGGGCGACAGAGCAUGCGCAGUGAGGUGCGCCGCCGGCCGCUGCUCCCAUCCCGACGGUGAGGAGGUCCACUUCGGGUGUUCCUCCAGCUUCUCAGGUAGUUCUCAAAUGUGAGGAUGUCCAAGAACUAUCCAGUACAGUUGCACAGACCCCAUUCUCUUCGAAGAAGACUACUUUGGACCGAUGGAAACAAAUAUAUGAAGAACUAGUGCCUUAGCCUCUGGGGAAAAUCCCUGGCCUUUAUUCCCCUAUGGAAGAAAGCAAACAGAAGCCCUCUGCAAACUACUUUGAUAGAUGUUGAUUCUCUGCCUAAAGGAGAGAGCCAAGCUGUGAGAACUGGACUGGAAGGUCAGAAGAAUUUGCUACCGUAAGACAAAUGAUCACUCUGUGACAGACAGUGGCUCAGGUUCAACAGGCAUGCAUAGAGUACAUACAUUGGCCAAAUACUGCAUUGGAUGCCAGGGUAUAAAGGUGAGUAGAACACAGUCCUUAUCCGAGCCUUCAAAGCCUACUUGGGAGAACAAAUGAGACCUAUGAUGCAACCUGUCAUGAUUGCGACUGACGCAAAGAAAGGCUCAAAAUGAAAAGUGCUUUGGAGUCAUAGAGGAGAAGUCGUCAGCUCUACUGGGAGGAAAAGGAGCUAAGAGAAGGCUUCACACAAGGGGUAACACUGAUGCUAAUUGGAGUCUCCAGGUUGGUUCUAGCUAGCAGUUAUUUUGUGAAAAUGAAAUAAAUUACAGAAUUUGUUGACAUUUCUGGUUCAUCUUUUUUUCAUAAUGGUCU